UCUCUUUUCCUCCUCAUCGUCGAAGCUUUUUCCUUCCCCUGACCCUUCUUCCUCUCCUUAUCUCAUCGCCGCUCGAUCUCCGCUUCCCUCCCGAGCCGCACACCGCCGAUCUCAUCUCUAUCCCCAAACCUCAUCGCCGAUCGCCCUCUCGCGUCACCCCCGGUCACCACAGCCCGACGCCGUCGGACGAGAGCCACCCGAGGGUCGCCUUUCCGAUCCUCUUCUUUCUUUCCUCCUCACGUCUCUGUCCUAGAGCGAUCACUGCCUUCCCUCUACCCUAGCGUCGACUGGCUCCGUGCCCUAUCUCCCGAUCCAUUCACGAUGCCGCUCAAGCAGUUUUCACCGUGAGAUGCUGUUGAAGAAGACGACGCAAGAUUGUCUCCACAUCCUCACCGCCCGAUGUCAUUAUCUCUUGGCUAUGCCCUAACGCCUUCUUCUUCCCCUCCAUGCGUUCACACCCGAUAAGGUUUUACUGGAGAUGACACCUUGCUGUGGACCUUUGGAAGGGAUGUCUAGCCAAGUUUAGCCAACAGUAGAUCAUCAGAUGACUUCAAUGACAUUUCUAUUGAGGAUGCUUUACUAUUGGCUGCUACAUUAGAGGCAAUCCAUUGUCAAUCAUAUGAUUGUGUAGGAUCUAGACUUAGUGCUGAUUUGGGGAUUUGGUUUGGAUGACUACAGCUUCACUUAGUGCCAACCAUCUUGUUUUGGCAGUGAACUUAUCCAGCAGUGAGUCGAUGGAGGAGUAAUCCAAUUUGGGCAAGAUGCUUGAUUUGGAGAUCAUCAGUUUCAUCUAGCUCCGACGUUCCGGCAGCGGGUGCUCCAUCGACAAAUUAACGACGAAGUAUAUAGCUUGGCUAUUUGCAGGACUUUGUUUCGAGGCGAGCAUCUCGACUUGGGAUUGUUUGGCACGAUCUACGUAUAAAGGCAGGAUACAUUAUGUAUUUGGUCUGAUGACCCUGCAUCUAUUUGUGAGGUUCACACCCUUAUGUACGGAUAGGAGAUCCUGGUAGAUGAUUAAGCAGUUGCUUGGAGAUAUCCUGUCUACCGGUCCCACGUCACAUCAGAAGACAAUUUACCUCGCAUCAUGAUUUCUUUUCAUAUAUUCUUUAUUAUUUUAGCAUUAUGAUGGUGUUUAGCCAUGUGACUAUUUUAUUGUUUUUGGUGUUGUAUAAGUUUGAUUUGGUUUUGGAGUUUGCUAUGUGGAGUUGUCUUUGUUUUGUUGUGGUUGUGUAAGCCUAGCCGACUAGCAGUCUAUGUGUUGUUUUUAUUUGUAUGACUUUUUUUUCAUUUUCCGCUGUGUUUUUAGUAUAGCCGUGUGGGCUUUUUAGUAUA